ACAACGUCACCUUCUGGAGCUAUCAGGCAUCUUUGGAAGGUGCCAAGUGGAGAGCAGGUGCCUGAGCCUGUCAACUAUCACAGACUCAUCUUAGAUGUGAAGUGGCUGAACACACUUGAUCACGGGCAGCCUGUUGUCCUGGUGACCGACGACAGCUGGCCUCACUCUUUGGGGUCAGGCUGGGCUCCAGAUGUGCAAGAGUCAGUUUACAGAAGAGGGAGACUGAAGUUAACAACUGGCUUGAGCCCUGUCUGGCUCUGGAGUUCAUGCUUUUCCCACACAGAAGACUUCUGAGGAAGAGGGAAGGGCUGGCGAAAGGGAGGAUUGAGAGAGGCGGGAGUCAAAGGCAUUGCUAGAUGGAUUGAAAAAACAAAUUCCAGUGCUGGUCCUGGAAGCUUCUUAAAAAGGCUGUGUAUGGAAUACACCACGUGGGAACAGACUCUAGGAUUUCAGAAGGACCCUCAGUCGUGGAAGCACAAGGGCUUAUGAGGAAAAGUAAAACCAGGCUCAGGAUGUUUUGGUUCCAUGUGCGAACUGGAGGAAGAAUGCGGCUCGUCUGAGCUCCUGUGCUGGAGAAUGAGCCACAGGCAAACUCCCUAAUCACCAAACCACAGUAGAGGGUGGGGAAAUGGGG